AAAAUUUUAGUUUAAAAAAAACUUAAUAAUUACAAUAUUAAAAUAUAUGUUUAUAUUAAAAUAUAAAUUUUA
rnacentral:tRNA from 1 species